rnacentral:rRNA from 3 species
GAGUAACGCGUAAGAAUCUACCCUCAGGUCGGGGACAACCACUGGAAACGGUGGCUAAUACCGGAUGUGCCGAGAGGUGAAAGGCUUGCUGCCUGGGGAAGAGCUUGCGUCUGAUUAGCUAGUUGGUAGUGUAAGGGACUACCAAGGCGACGAUCAGUAGCUGGUCUGAGAGGAUGAUCAGCCACACUGGGACUGAGACACGGCCCAGACUCCUACGGGAGGCAGCAGUGGGGAAUUUUCCGCAAUGGGCGAAAGCCUGACGGAGCAAUACCGCGUGAGGGAGGAAGGCUCUUGGGUUGUAAACCUCUUUUCUCAGGGAAGAAAAAAAUGACGGUACCUGAGGAAUAAGCAUCGGCUAACUCCGUGCCAGCAGCCGCGGUAAUACGGAGGAUGCAAGCGUUAUCCGGAAUGAUUGGGCGUAAAGGGUCCGCAGGUGGCAUUGUAAGUCUGCUGUUAAAGAGUUUGGCUCAACCAAAUAAAAGCAGUGGAAACUACAAAGCUAGAGUUUGGUCGGGGCAGAGGGAAUUCCUGGUGUAGCGGUG